ensembl:lncRNA
GCAGCAGGAGGGUUCAAAGGUUCACUUCAAGUCCCUUGUUUAGUAUUUACAAGCACCACUUAUUGCUUUAUUACGCUAUGAAGUACUUUUAAUGGACACAAGGACAAACGUGCAUUUUAGUAAAGGUGCACGAUUCAUUUCAGUUGCCUCUCAACGGCUCUCAGCAUGGCAGCUCGUAGCAGCGAAGUGCUAACGGGAGCUAACGUGGAACUGAAUAAAAGGCACCUCCACUGACCUGCAGCUGACGUUAUGAAAUACAUCUGGUCGUUGUGUCUACAGCAGAACUCAAAUCUCCUCAUAUUCAAUUCUCAGUGUGUCAGAAAUCAACUCACUGCGAAUGAUCGGAUGUAAAAGUUGAUCUGUAAGUCUGAAUGUUCUCCCUGGAUUUGGGGUUUGGGUUAGUCGAUCACGGAGCCAAAUCCUCUUCCUCACCCUCGCAGCGCAGUCUGAUCUGGUCAUGUCCGCACUCGGUGAAGAGCAGAAAGCUUUUCCAGCUCCUGUCUCCAAAGUGAAGACCACGGGACCGAGAGGUCGGCGUCUCGUGCUCCUUCAUCAGACACAAAGAAAUGCACUUAACUUUUCAGUCGCCUCAAAGCCAGUUCAAGGCUUCGACGGCUCAGCAGUCGGGACGAGCAGGAUGAAUUAAUAUCUCUUGUUCCUCUGUAAUCCCAAUGAGCAAAGUGAUGGAGAGGAGGAAGUCCUACACGUCGGAGGAAGAGUACGAGCAGUGUGCGGUUUGUCACUUCAGGGGAGUAAACGUCUCGUUGAAGUUGAACAGAUGUGUUUCCUGGUCUGACUGCUCCACUGGACAAGGAUCAUAAACCAACACGAAAGGCUCGUGCAGCGAACAGUGUUCAACUCACACCUCGACUAUCGAUUGUUACUCGACAGGAGAAAAAUAUCCAGCGGUGCUUCAGAUUGAUUCAUCAGAAGAGUCACUUUGAGGAACGGAUCAAAUGAACCCGACACGGAUGUUCUCCCAUCUUCUGUAACCACGACUCACUCCUCCAUCCUUCUCAGUUAGAUCUUUAAUACGGGACGUGGGACAUCGCAGCAGGGGGCCGUGUUGCACUCGCUUUCACCGUCACCGUGGUGACGAAAGGAGAGCGGCGCCGGAAGGCAAAGCUCUCGAUGUACCGGUCGAUCUUCGUUCCCACCUUCACCUCUGGCCCUGAAGGAGUCAUGAAAUAGGUCCAAUGCUGGGAGAUGGUCCGCUGAGGGAGGGGGGUUACAGGUAUACAUGGUGAAGUGGAUGUUAACCUAAGUGUGGUACAUUAAGGGACAAAAUCUUCCUUUUCUCUUUGUGGAUUUGGCAGAACUCGUAUACUUGGUAACUGUGUAAAUGGUAAGUGGGUUCAAGUCUGAACCUUAAUUCUGACCCAGUUUAAUAGAGUUCUCACCUGCAACGAGAUAACGUUGACCUUUAACGAGCUGUGAAGCUGCUGACGUUUUAAUGCCUGAACUUACUUUAAAUGAACUUUUAUCUUCUCUUUGAUUGCUGGUGUCUAUGAGAAACAGCACUCGUGCAGACAGAAGAGUCCGGAGGUCCAAUCACCUUCUCACAACAUCACCUGACAAUAAAUACACAUCCAUGUGUGCUGACAGCCCAACACACAUAUUCUGCCCAACUGUCUCCACUGGUGUUCAUUACACGUUACAUUACCACACGUAUGUGAAGAGGAGCUUACUCACUGAUGAGCUCCAGUUUGAACGUAUUCAGGAUGCAGAAGGUGAACGAAGGUCAUGCAACGUAUUUCAGAGUGGAAGUAAUGCAACCAUCCAACGCUCUGAAGAAAGUGUCUCUCGUGAGGACAGAAGGACGUCCAUUACUUACCAGCAUAAGAAACAGGAAUGACGCAGUCAGCAAUGAUCUGGUGGUUUGUGGUCUUUCUCCCAUUAACCGAAUAAUCAUCUCCCCCAGCGGAGCGUCUCAUUGCAGCACUUUGCUCCCUGGAGGCAAUAAAAGUCACUUUUAAUAUUGAAAACAACUUUCAUUCGCUUUUGAGUCCAACUUCAUUUAAUCAUAAGGUUUCUUGUCUCAAUCUUUAAUUUGGGGCAAUAAGAGGAAGUCAUCCUCCUUUACGUCUACCGGCCUUCUGCUUAAAGAAAAGGGGGACUGGAGAUGUGUUGCCCCCCGACGAGAGUUUCGGGGGGAAGAACUCCAUCCUUCCUCCUUCGUGCUGCUGCAGUUCCAUAAGGAGACGGAAUCGUCUUCACGUGGCUGCUGGAGGACACGGGUGGAAAGCUGCUCACCCGUCAUUUGACUCCUGUGGAUUCCACACCAAUAAUUUACUCUAAAGGUCGAAUUAGAAUGAAGAGAAAGUGGAGCGUUGCUACAUUUACCAUCCAGAGGAUUAAGUAGGAGCCAUAAAUCAGCGUCCUGACAUCGGGGCCUGGAGCCUGCAGGGGCCCGGGCCCCCGCAUGGAGGUUAAUAAUAAUAAUGAUAAUAACGUUGAUCAAUCACCUUGCGGCUCGUUGGAUGCAAAUAGUGUGUCGUCACAGACGGAAUAUUGUUUUUUCUUGCCAACAGCACGAAGCAGGAAGUUCUGAAGUUAGAUUAUUAUCUCAUUGUGUAUAAUCAUGAACACAGGUUCCUUCCCAUCGGGACCAAAGGCUGCACACGAGUUUUUCCAAUAAACUGAAGGUGUUGAAGUGCAGAUCAAAGAGGAAUAUGUGUUUUUGCCCCUUCUGAAGUCUGGGGGGGGUCUGACAAACAAUUAUGGUCAACAGACAGAAAGGGAGGAGCAGGAAGUGAUAUUCUGAGAGGAUGGAGGCAACACAUCAAUUUGUUUUAAUGAAAGUCAACGGUGACAUGAAAGACGUAGUAAAGCAGAACUCGCACCACCUACAGAUCACACAUAUAUACGUGUAUAUAUAUAAACAUAUAUAUAUAUAU